ensembl:lncRNA
GUUCAGGUAUAUGCCUGAUCUUAAAAAAAAAUACCACUUUGCCUAAAAAAAAAGUUAUCUUCCCAAGAUCGAUCAUUUAAUUAGUGAUUUAAUUUACUUUAAACAUGGAGCUCUGCGGGUUACAGUCCUCCAGUAACGGACACACACAUGUGCAGGAAUGGCAUCAUGAAACAUCUGCAGGAUUUUUACCCCCGAAACGCAAAAGAUCUGAUUUAACAAACAUGACUGGAGACAGAUGUGACAGUUCAUCUGCUUUUCCUGCUAAAGAAACAGCCAAAAAUCACAGCCGUUUUGUGCGGAUCGACGGUCAGAGAGGUGUGUAUUACUCCGAGAGCUUUGAACCGAACGGAAGCACCCUGUACCUCCCUGUCUGCGGAACCGUGCUCGCCAACAUGCACAAAUACGAACAGAUCAGCUUCGAGCAAGGCUGCUUCUGCGUCGGCGACGAAACCGGAGGCUUCCGGCAAAGAGUGCAAGGUCAGGCUCUUCACUGCUGGAGAUACAGGAAAGACGUCAGGAAGCUCUUCAUCGCCCUGUCGUACUUCUUCACGAACUGUGAUGUAUUUCAGGAGGUUCUGAGCUCUCUCGAGUGUUUGUAAAGAGGACACACACACACACACACACACACACACACACACACACACACAGAACAUAUCUCCUAAUUGACUAUGUUUCAUUUUUGGCUGCUCUAAAUGUUGAACAAAAUCACAUUUGUCGUUUAUCUGGUUUCUGAUCUUCUCUUUUUCUUUCUUUUUUUUUUAUAUAGACCAGUAUUUUAGAGAACUCCCUGUUGUGUAUGUGGAUUGUAGAAUAAAGUGCGGGGGGGGCAAAACUUUUGCAGUGUCCCUUGUGACACUUUCCGUUGCAUCUUACUGUUAUAUAAAACUUUAAGACACAACUUCUGCACAGUAUAUCCUGAUAGAAUUGUAAUUAAUCGUAUUUUUAUGUUUAUUAUCUGCAAAGUGAACCUUGUGAGAUUUUGGGGUCUGUGGUAUUGUUUAUAACGGGCCUCUGUGAUCAUCUGUUAUUUUAUUUUUUACCCUUUUUUUUUAUUGUGUAUUUUUUUAAAUAAAAAAAAGUGUAUUAACACAAAUGUAACGUCUAUGAAUCUAAUUCUUAUUAAAAACAACAACAACAAGAUUUAUUUAUAUAUAUAUAUAUAUAUAUUUGUUACUAAUUUGAUUCUGUUUAAUUUCUAUUCUGUUAUCCAAAUUUCACUAAUUACG